rnacentral:lncRNA from 1 species
ACCGCGUGGUUCUAGAGUGAAUUAUAAACAGUAGGCCAGGCGCGGUGGCUCUUGCCUGUAAUCCCAGCACUUCGGGAGGCUAAGGCGGGCAGAUCACGAGGUCAGGAGUUCGAGACCAUCCUGGCUAACACGGUGAAACCCUGGCUCUACUAAAAAUACAAAAAAUUAGCUCGGUGUCAUGGUGUACACCUUUAAUCCCAGCUACUCAGGAGGCUGAGGCAGGAGAAUGGUGUGAACCCAGCAGGCGAAGGUUGCAGUGAGCCGAGAUCGCGCCAUUGCACUCCAGCCUGGGGGAUAAGAGUGAGACUUCGUCUCAAAAAAAAAAAAAAUCCAGGACACUUGGCUGGGCGUGGUGACGCAUACCCAUAGUCCCAGCUCCUCAGAAGGCUGAGGCGGGAG